UCAUACCAUAGUUUCUUUUUUAAUAUUUUUCAAAAAGUAACUGACUUCACAAACACCAACUAUAACAUGAUUUAGACAACUGAGAAACAGGCAAGUGUACUUUUGAAGGCUAAAAUAAAACACAUUUAUACAAGUACAAAGCAAAACAAUGCUGAUAAAAAUGUUAAACUUUAUGAAAAAAAAUCAUUUGCAAUUCACAUCAAAAUAAUUUAACAUUCUCUAUUGUUUUAAUAGUACAAGCUGCAACAACAGAAAAAGAACAGAUACGCGCACACAAUUUUAAAACCAAAUCCGUUAAAGUGCAGAAAAAAGUAAGUACAAGCACUUGUAGCCCACACAAAUCUUUUAGGAUUGGCACCAUCUCUCUAAAACAUCUAUAUUCUAUAUAGAUUUCUAAUUACAACACCACCAGCAGCUGCCAUUGAAUUCUAGAAAUACACACAAUAUACAUAGUAUAUUUGUUCACAUUGGGAAGAUCAGUGAAAUUCAGCCAACUAUUUUAUACAUGCCUCACUCUUCAACAGAUAGUAGAGAAUCUCCCAGGCCUCAGACCCUCUUAAAAGUGAAUUUCAAUUUAUCUUUAUGUUUUUCACUGAUCUGUAUUUUUUUCACAGUAUAAAAUUGUAAAUGGUAACUAUAGAGAUUCUGACAGCUUGAGGGUUAUUAAUAAGCUGUGGCUAAAUGUGAACUCAGAUAAUACUUUUGAAGUCUCCAAAACAUGUACAUUUUGCUGGGAGACUAGCAUAGGAAAUGGGUUUUUUUGUUUUUGUUUUUUUGUUUUUUGUUUUUUCUUAAAAAGUGGUUAAUUUCUGGUUUGGAAGUCACAGAACUGCAGCAGAGCCAUUACACAAUUCAUUCACAGUCAGAAAUAGCUCCUAGUCUUCCUGAUCACUUGCUGGUAACAGCAGAAGUUUGGGAAAGACUUUUACUAACAAGGAUUAGUACAUUCGGGGAUUUACUGUUUUUCUUUACUUCAGUCAAAUCUCAUAUGGUUUUCCUUUGCGUACUCCCUUCUGCUCCCCACCCCUAACCCAGAGAGAAGCUUCUUCCCAAUCCACAUAGGGUCUUCUCAGGCUGCCCCUACUCCUCUCCCAGAACAGAAGAGUGAGUGGACUCCUUAGAUGGUCCAUAUAACUCGAUCAAAGUAGGUCUUCUUCUUUUCAUCCUUGGACCAAACUGUCCUUUAGGGUCACUUUUCUGAAUCUCAGCAUUUCACUCUCUUUUCCCCUUCCUUUUAGUCAUGCUGGUCCAACUGAGUGAUCACUGGGCACCAGGAACAGACUGUUUUCAAGGAAAUUCAAUGAAAAUAGGUACCCAAAUGAAUUGCGAAGUUCAUAUCCUAGCCCUAGAAUGAAUAUUCAGUUUUCCUUGUAGAUUUAUUACUUGGAACCUGGUAUUAGAAUUGGCAAAGAGACAGAGUUAGCAUCAUUCCAAAAUAAAAGAUCCCAAAAGUGCAUUACUAAUAUUAUGCAUUAUAGAAUGUAUUGAAUGAAGGGCAAAGGGCAUAAAAACACAGAGAAAAGUACACCUUGUUCUCCUCUAAUUGGAUGAAUAUUUUUCUUAUUACAGUUGAUUAUAAUUUCAUAUGGCAUUAUCAGACAGCAAUUUAUUUGUAUUACAUUUUAAUUUCUGAUGAAUUUUCUCAUAAAGUGGUGUAUUUUUUUAAAGAAAUAUGUUACUAAAAAUUUAGAAGAGAAAUUUGAUCAUGGAGAAAGUUUUUUAAAAAUAUUCUGUUGGUCAACACGGUGAAACUUACACUUGAGAAUAAAAUGGAAAUCAACCUAAAGUCAUGGGAAACGAAUUUAAAACUUAGUUGAGUAUAUUUGGAAAGGUUUCAAUGUUUAAGAAAUCAAAAUGGUAAUCCUCAGGUGAAUGCCACCCUUUUCAUGAGGAUUGAAGGGUGUUAAUCAAAAUAUUUACAUUUGUUUUUUAAGUAGAGGCAGAGUUCACGUUCAAUGAAACUAUAAAGCUUAGCUAAAUUCACUCUGCUUCAAGAGUCUCAUUAUAACAUGUGGGUUCAGGGUGCUCUGAUGAUAUUUUCAAAUGUGGUAUGGUAAGUUUGAUUUUCAAGUUUAUAUUUUAGUAAACUAAUAUCAGCUUUUAACAUUUUAUACUGGGACAUUUGAUUUUAAAUUUAAUAUAAGAACAGAUAUAAGUAAAGGAAAAUCAAGAAGUAUAUUUCCUAUAACUUUUAAAAGUGGGGCAUGAUAAAUUACACCAAUGGAUAUAUUUCCAUUUCUCAAUUCCUUUUUUAAAGUAUAUAUGAAAUAAAAAAAUACAUGCCAAUAUAAGGAUAUUGAGCUCAAGGAAAAAGGUUUCAUUUAUUUUUCUUUCUGCUAAAAAUAUACUUCUGCCUCACAGCAAAUCUUUUUCAUAAGGCUAGCUUUAGUAUAAGGCUGGAUCAACUGAACUUUAAAUUUAUAGGACACCUCCUCCUUUUAUUACUAUCUUUAUUUUAAAAUUUAAAAUGAAACGAAACGAAACGAAACCAAACCAAACCAAAACAACACAAAAAAACAUUUGGCACCUGAGGACAACUGUAAUGAGAAGAAGAAAGAGAUGACUGUGGAUGCAGGUCUUGAGCUAUGAAUUCUACCUAUAUGAGCCUAUUAAAGCACAUGUAUUUCUAGUAUAUCUUUAAAUCUCUUUUCUGCAGUAUUUAAAAAGUGACAGUAUGAAGUGCACAAAAUCAUAUUAAUAAUUAUUUUAAAAAGGAAAUACUAAUAAUUGCUUUGCCUCUUUUUGGAAUGGCUAAGAGACUGUGUGGUUUAUAUUCAUUAAGGUUCCUCUGUUUUAAUAUUCUGUAUUGCUUUGAAAAAUCUACAUUUGUCAUAGUUCAUAGCUGCCCUCUUUAAGCAGCCAAAAAAAGUUAAAAUCACUGCUCACUGGCAUAGCUAAAUCUCUGCUAAGCCGACUUGACACAGUUUAAAAUUUCCAGCGUAUUAAGAUUGUGUUAACUUUUUGAACAACAGUCCCUCUAAUCAUGUCGCUGUCUUCGCUGGGUCUAUAGACCAUUCUUCCAGUGGUGGGACUUGGAAAGAACAGAGGAGCUCUUUGUGCAUCAGGUUCUCAAAAGAAAGGAAUGGAGAAGCCCAAAUGCAUAUUUUAAUAUUUUAGCUGGCAAUGCUAAUGGAACAGCAUUCAUAAGGAGGAGUGGCCACAUUUCAUGAAAGUGAUAGCCAAGCUGGAGCUCAGGAAUUAUUAUUAUUAUAAAGAGAAUUUCCAGCUACACAACGGUACCCCAGUGAGGGAAUUACAAAACAGUAUUCCAGAAAAUAUUUUUUUGCUACUCCAGUAUUGAUUGGCAACAUGGUGAAAUAGUCAAGAAAUCUUCCAUUGGUUUUCUUGGUUAAUGGAGGUGAAUUGAAAUAACUAGGUGGACUCCCGGAUGCAGGCUUUUCAAAGAGGAUUUCAAAACCAAAUUGGAGAGGAAUGUCUCUGGUAAAAGCCUUAUACACAUCAGCGCAGCACUCAUUAUCCAGUUGUGUGUUAUGCAUGGGACACACUCACAACAAUGCCUCAGUAAAUACUGGGCCCAAGUUACUGCUUUUCCAAGUCUUUAAAGGACAGAAAAAAAAGAAAAAAAAAAAAACGGAAAAAAAACCCAAAAAACAAAAAAAGAGAGCGAAAGGUUGAUGUUUUGGUCCCAGAUUUUGAGUUUGUUAGAAAAUGUACAUUCAUGUUUGGUGAAUCAAAGAAUCUUCUGGGAAAAGAAUUAAAGUAAACAAACAAAACUUUGUACAGUUGCUUAAUAAGUAUGCUUUUCCCCCUCCAUUAUGCUGUUACACACUCAUUGCUUCCCUAGAGCAAAGCACUUGGUAUGGAACUGGUUCAACAGACUCUUGUCAGCCCUCAAAAAUAUAAGCAGUGUUUCUUAAAAGCCCAUGUUUUCUAAGGCCACUAGAAGAAAAUCUGCCAAAGGAUUUGUGGUCGGUGUCUUCGUCGGUUGAUGUUAAAUAGCACUAUUAAUCUCGUGUUUCCAUUACGGGUGUACUUGGCAUCUUCCACCUCGGGUCUUAACCAGGCGACUAUGCUUGUCACUGUGUCUGCGUGAACACGGGAGGUCUUGGCUCCCUUGGCGGAACCCAGCGUGGUUUCCAAUGACAUUCACAACGACGAGGAGCUCUGAGUGUAAUCUCUUAUGAUAAGUGUGUCAUAUUUGGGAGACGAAGGGAUACAGAGGGCCGACUCCGACACUGGCGAGUUGGGGGUUGUACUCCCCGAGUCCACCGAGUCUCUGAAGGGGGACGGCGGGGUGAGAGCCACCAGCUCUUCCAGGUCCGGCUUGCCGGCUGCAGCUUCCGGCCCGGCCGUCGGCGUCUCCCGAGCAGCGCCCCCAGCCGGCGGGGCCGCCGCCGCGGGCUGCGCGCCGCCCGUGACCUCGAUGNNNNNNNNNNNNNNNNNNNNNNNNNNNNNNNNNNNNNNNNNNNNNNNNNNNNNNNNNNNNNNNNNNNNNNNNNNNNNNNNNNNNNNNNNNNNNNNNNNNNNNNNNNNNNNNNNNNNNNNNNNNNNNNNNNNNNNNNNNNNNNNNNNNNNNNNNNNNNNNNNNNNNNNNNNNNNNNNNNNNNNNNNNNNNNNNNNNNNNNNNNNNNNNNNNNNNNNNNNNNNNNNNNNNNNNNNNNNNNNNNNNNNNNNNNNNNNNNNNNNNNNNNNNNNNNNNNNNNNNNNNNNNNNNNNNNNNNNNNNNNNNNNNNNNNNNNNNNNNNNNNNNNNNNNNNNNNNNNNNNNNNNNNNNNNNNNNNNNNNNNNNNNNNNNNNCCCGCGCCGCCCGCGGCCCCCGCGCCACCGCCCGCGCCGCCUGCGCCCAGGCCGCGGCUCUCCGUGCUCUUGGGGAAGGGCUUGAUGACGGCCGUUUGGUUGGGGUUCUCUUUCUUGUUGAUGUGGAUGGACAGCCGCUGCCACAGGUGCUGCCCCCGGCUGCUCUUCUCGUUCUGGGCCCACGUGACGGAUUUGCCAUUGGAGCUGCGGAGAGAAGGGAGACUAGAGGUGACUCAGAGGUUCAGGGGGAGCGGGUCCCCAGCCCUGGGUUAUGGAUUGGGAAGGACGGCGUCAAAGGACACCUCCAGAGAUCAUGGAAGCGGCAUUUGUUUCCUUGUUUUGAGUUAAAGGCCGCUUUAUUGUAUUGGCCUUGCCUUUAUCCUUACCAUGAAAGUGUAUCAGAGGGGAGAGUAGUAAGUAAGGGUCGAGGAGUAUUUAUGGAGAUUCUGCAGUAGUUCUGAGCAGCAGCUGGUUAUGUUGCAAACCUAGAAGCCAGGGCCUGGAUUAUUAUGGUGCCAUUGAGCAGAAGCACCUGGUACAGGGCAAGGGCUUCCUGCAGUUGGCAGCCUCUGAAAGGAAAACUUGGAACUAGAACAACUAACCAACCCAAACACAAGAGGGCAGGGAAAGCGUUGGGGUCAAGGGUUACCAGGCAAUAGACAGUGGUUCCAGUUCAGUUUUUAUUCUGCGAGCCAAUGAUUGGUGUAUUUGGCUAGGGAUUUCUGUUUGAAUUCCUGACCUUGAACAUGGUUUUAGUUAGUCUGCCUUAUCUGCUGGAAAACAGAAAUUCAAGAAACACAUAUACAAAGUUCUAAUCAAUUAGAGCUUUUCUACUUCACCCACAUUUUCCUCACAAAUUUAUUUUUAGGCCUAAAACUUGAAUAACAGUUCUGUGAGGGAGCAUAUUGCCUCUGGCACCUAGCAUAUUGCUUUCCAACUAGGGUCUUGAUGAGUGUUACCUGACAUGAUUUCCUACGGCCUUUCUCCCUCUUCCCUUUCCCUAAGCAGUGCAUUUUGGUCCUGCAGCAUGAGGUCUGAAAGCUGCUCUGAUGGUACAAUUGGCGCCUGAGCCUCAGAUCCUGACUGUGUCCUCCUUACUAUUAAAUAUGACACAACCUCUAAAUCUACAGACCCUCUGUCAGAAACCUCACUUAUGGUCAGAGAAUGUGGCCUGACCUUCAGGGAUGUUCUAUGGAGAGACCUCGGGUGAUGGCUCAUCACAAAGAAAUCCAAGAUCUCUGUAACUAGGGGGUCUGUUUUGUCCAGACAGCUCUGCCCUAGGUGCUGUGACCAGGAGAUAGCCUUGGACAGUCUAUGACCCAAGGCUUUGACCACCCAACUUUAUCAUCUCGGCCAGUGGUGAUUAAACUUAAUUGUGCCUAAAACUCACCUAGGGUAUUUGUCAAAUAGCCCAGGCAGGACCCCAGAAGAUUCUGAUCACCUAGAUAAGGUUCCAAAGAUCUAUGCAUUUUGUAAGCACUCCAUCCCCAAAGAAGCUGUCCUUUCUUUCUGGGUUCCCAUUGCUCCCUUGGCCUCCUUGCUGGACGGCCUUUGCCUGGCAGGGGGCUGAAUUGUAUUUGGAGCUCACUUGCCUUGCGGCUACCGGACUGCAACUGCCAGAUCCACUCUGCCUGAGAUACCUAUGCCUUUGAUAACAGAUCUCUGUUUCUGCAGUUCCUAUAACAGGAUGCUUUCUGUCUCUUUCCCAUACUGCUUCUCAUUUCUUCCAUCUUUCCUUUUCCUCUUUGUGGUCUUCCUUUUUCUGCUCUUUCCUCUGAAAUCUCAUUCCACUUAAUCUACCCAAUAGUUUGCAACCUGGUGUCCUUUAGAAUUCUGGAAUGUGAUAUGUCCCCCACCCCUGCCCCUCUUCCUGUGAAGGAUGGAUCAAUUAUUUCCAGGUUUGGAGGUUGCUGUACAUCCACGGUAGCAGAAUGGGCCCUGCCAAACCUAGCUUUCCUUUCCAGGAGAGUUUCAGGAAAGGAAUGUUUCUACGUUUUGCAUUAACCUGACCUGCCACCUUUUAUGUUUUUAGUGCAUUACUUUCUUCUUCCUAGGUGUCUACUGAGUUCUGGAACAUGGCACAGAAGAAAUGGGCCAGACUAUUUAUGGGAUUUGAUUGGGAGGAUGGUUGCCAACAACCCCCUUUCUCUCCUACUAGCAAGGUAAGAAACAUGCAUGUUGGAAAGGAAAAUUAGUCGUUCAGGUUGCUGAGGCCACUUUUAAUACAAAGCUUGGGCUAUAAACUAGCAGCUUAACUGGAUUUAUCCUACUAAGCUUUACUCUAGGAAAGUUCUUGCUCCCAACAUGGAGAGGUUUUGAUGGAACAUAACUCUGGGUAUUAACAGUGUCAGUCUUUGGAAUCACAUGCAGUAGUGCCUAAAAACUUGACAGCAGAUGGAAAAGCCUUUGGAUGAAUGUGUGAGAAGGAAACUAUCCUAACCAGCCAAUUUGCACAAAAUACUGACAUUUUUCCUGGCCAUGCCUUUGCUCAUUGUGUCCAUGGUCAUUUGGGAGAGAGAGCGCCAAACAAUCUGAAUACCAAUGGAAAUGGACACAGGAGACACCAGAGAAAUGGAGUCCAAAUGUAAGUACCUCAUUUCAUUCCUUGGGUCAUGAAAGGUUUUUUACUCCAAAAUAAAUGAGAACUUUUUAAAAAGUUUUUUUUUUAAAUCCUGACUUAUGACAUUAAUCUGUUUAUUAGUAGAAUGUAGUUUCCACAGGAAACAGACAGGAAACUAAUCUAUCUUGUUCAUUAGCACACAGGAUGUUAAUAAGCAUUUGAUGGACGAAUAGGAUUCUUAAGCUAACCAGUCUUAAGAACCAUUGUGUGGUGUCCUGGAAAGUGCAAUGGACAAAGGACCCUCAAAUCUGGAUUCUAAUCCUGGAUCUGCCAUCCUGGAUGCUUGGAAAACAAUAGUCUCUAAGAUUUGGUAAAAAGCAGAGAGCAAUCCUUUGGUGAAAGCUGUCAUGAGGAUUAAAUGAGACCAUAUAGAUGAAAGCUUCUUGUAAGGAGAGGGUAUCUAAGAGUGUUAAUUUUUGCAUUCUAUGUGAACACUACAUUUCAGAAAAUAAAAACAGUAUACUUGUGGUUUUGAGCUCUGGUUGAGAAACAAAGAAUUCAAUACAAAGUAAAAUAUGUAGUAAAGCCAAAAAAUAUUUUUGGUUGUUCCUCCUUAACCUGACCAACUGUACCAAGAAUUGGAGUUCCAUCGGGUUUGCUCUGUUGGGGUUUUUUCCAUGCUAAUUUGUCUCCUUGGUGAUCAAAUCCACUCCACUAAAUUCUGCAUUAUUUCUCUUCCACAGUUUACUUCUUCCUGAAAUGCUCUUUCAUUGUGCUCCCUCCUCUCUGCCGUUUUCUUUCUUUUGCCUAAGCUCUUACCAUUUUUUUUUUAUUUUAUCUUAAUUGCUUUUAUUUGAGAGAAGCAUUCCUGACCCCAUCCCGACUAGGUUAGAUUCCCAGAGUCCUUUCAUUAGGCACUUAAUAACUCUUUGCUGUAUAUCUACCUCACCUGCUGGGUGGAGUGUUCUGAGGGUACAGACAGAGGGUUCUUUGUUUUCUGUUAUAUCCAUAGUACCUCGUGCAUUGCCUAGAACAUGUUAUGUGCUCAAUAAUAUUUUGAACUAAUAACUGAGUGGAUAAGUGAAUUUGAUUUAAAAAAAUCCAUACUGAAUUGUUUUUGGUAGAAUUAAGUUUUAAAAAUAAUUCAAUAGUAAAAAAUAAUUCAUUGUUAAUGAAAUUCUGUUUUGUCUUAUGAAUCAAUCUUUUUAUAAACUCACUGUAAUCAAUAGUACUUAGUACAUAUUUCAUUAACCAAGUACAAGAACACAGAUCUUCAUCUCUACUGUGAAAAUCAUAAAGGAAGUAUUUGUUCCUUUUCUGUAACUUAUAUGUAUAUGUAUCUGUGUGUGUGUGUGUGUGUGUGUGUGUGUGUGUGUGUAGUGAAACUUCUUAUUGAUUAAAGCUUAUGGAGGCAGUAUGGAUAGUAGACCCAGAAUGUGGGUUUAAGGUAUGGCCCUCAGUGAUGUUGGGCAAAUCACUUAACACUUUUGCACCUCUUUGUUCUUUGGUAAAAAAUGGAAGAAAUAAACCUCUCCUGCUCACCUCACAUGAUUUCUGGAAGAAACUAAAUGGUGGUACACGUGAGGGUACUUUAUAAAGCAUAGUACCUCUGCAGACCUCACCAUCAAAUCUUCCGGGGUGCCUGGGUAGCUCAGUCAGUUAAGCAUCUGACUUCGGCUCAGGUCAUGAUCUCGCAGUUCGUGAGUUCAGGCCCUGUGUCAGGCUCUGUCCUGACAGCUCAGAGCCUGGAGCCUACUUCGGAUUCUGUGUCUCCCUCUCUCUCUGCCCCUCCCUGCUCAUGCUCUGUCUCUCUGUUUUUCUCUCUCUCAAAAAAACAAAAACAAAAACAAUAAAAACAAAUAAAUAAACCUUAGAAAAAUCUUCCAAUCACUUGAGGUAAAAUCUUUAUUAUUAUUGUUGUUGUUAUUACUGAGAACUUUUUUUUUUUUUAAACAUCAGGAUUAUACAUUUUUCCUAAGGACCCUCAGGUAAGAAAAGGGAAAGCAAACUUUUCCGUACUGGUCUAUAGCACUUGACUUUCCCCACUGAAUAUUUUGGACAUUAGAAAAGAAGGAGGAGGAGAGAGGAGUGGAGGAAAGAAACAGAAUACAUGGUUUGCUACACCUGGAAAGGAGGACAAUUUGGCAAAAAAACAAAAAAAAAACAAAAAAAAAACCAAAAAAAAAACCAUAAAAACUUUGUGCUCUUUCCAGGUACCAGUUAACCCUUUAUCAAAUAUAAUACUGCAUAAUUUACUACUAUGACAAUUUGUUCUUUAUUUCUUGGGGGAAGGUGCAUUUUGAUCAUGUUAUUUAAGACUUAGGUUUUUUUGUUUACAUUUGUGUCUGCCAAAAUGACACCUUCUACCUUUAUUCUUAGAAGUUUUUUUUUUUUUUCCCCCAGGGUCAGCCAGGAGAGAGGAAUAGUAGGAUAAUGAGUUUCCUAAUACAAAAAAAAAAUACUUAAAAAAAUUUUUUUUAAAGCUUGUAAUGUCACUAGCAAAUAUGUCUUUGGAAUGACUUCAGAAAAUACUAGGCCAAAAAAACAAUUUCAUGAAUUAAGAAUAUUAUAAGUAGAAAGUUUCCAAUUGCAGUUCCAUUUUCUGUACAUUUUCUUAAGCUUUUUAUCAAUAUAUUUUGAGUUGCAAAGUAUGGAAAUAAAGUUUUUAAAAGAUAAUGAGGAAUUGGAUAUUGUUUAUAUCCAGACAUUCUAAAUUAGGUGGGACAAUUUCUUUCUGAGCCUUGCCUAAAAUAUGACAUCUUGAUUAUGACAAUUACACUGAGAAAUACACCAUAAUAUAUAAGAAAAUGAUAGAAUCAUCUAUAUAAAUUUCCCCAGUUAAGCAUAAAUGGGUAUAAAUAGCCAUAUCACUGACAAAAAAAAAUAAAUGGCUGCGAUGACAUAUGCAUUAGAAAUAUAUGUACAGACAAAAACACUUGAGUAAAUGAAAAUGAAUUAUCUACCAAAGACACAAUAAUCAAAGCAAUAUCACCUUAUAUUUGCAUAGUGCUUUAAAACUACUUUUCCGGACACUGAUUGUCAAGGGUAGAUAGGAUCAAUGUCUUUGUCCUCCUUCCAAAAAUAAGAAAAUUGAGGCUCAGUGAGAUAGGUGAUUUGCCCAAAGUUAAGCAGUUAGAUAAUAGCAACCUGGGACCAAUACUAUCUCAUGAUUUCCAAUUCCAUUUUUCCUGACAGUACAAUGUCCCAUCUUUGCUUUGUGAAGUGAGCUGUCCUUAUUUCACGGAAUAGAAGACCUCUGGUGUUACCUGGUGAUGAUGUGUGUUUUUAAGUAGAAACAUUAGUCAUUUGAUUUACAUUCUCUAUUACCAUGUCUUUGUACUUCUUAAUCAUCUACUUUGAGGUCUCAAGAAAGCACCCUAUAUCACUCUUUGGCCUCAAAUAGCACAGGUUGAUCAAGCACUUAUAUUUGUCAAAGAUAAUGACUGGAUGCCUCAAUAAUGAAGGCACUUGAAGCUUACAACCAUAUAAAUAUUAUAUGGCAAUUUUCAGCCCCUCUUUUUUUCCCCAUGCUGUGAUCUGGUAAAAGACAGUUGUCCUAUAUAAGGACAGCCCUAAUAAAUGUAGCCCACUUAUUUUCUCUCUGACUUACUUUGAAAUACCACUAAAAAGAAUGGUAUAAAUUUGAGGAUAACCUUAAAUCUGCACUAUUUUGCAAAUUUUGGUAUUUCAACUAAUAGUGGUAAUAAAUGAUAAUGUGAUACCUUUGCAAAUGAUUGUGAUUCAUCAGUACUUUUUAAAUUUUUUUUAAUGUUUAUUUAUUUUUGAGAGAGAGAAAGACAGAGCAUGAGUAGGGGAAAGGGCAGAGAGAAAGGGAGACACAGAAUCCAAAGCAGGCUCCAGGCUCUGAGCUGUCAGCAUAAAGCCCGACACGGGGCUCAAAGCCACAAACCAUGCAUGAGAUCAUGACCUGAGCUGAAGUUGGAUGCUUAACUAACUGAGCCACCCAGGUGCCCCUAUUCAUCAGUACUUUUUGAUAUUCUGGCGGUGAGUUACUGAUAUGAGACUUGCCUCAAAGAGGGCAAGAGUAAAGAUGCACAUAGUAAGGCUAGCAAUAUGAGUUACUCAUAGUAUUUUGAUAGGAGGGUUAUUUUUCUUUUUCUUAGGACCUUGAAAUGAGGAAGUAGAUGGGCAGGUGGAAUGUUGCUAAGGGCAAAGCCUGAGAGAUUGUGGAGCAUGGAAACAAGUAGUUCAUGGGGUAACUAACUAUAGGGUACAGAUCACAAGGGAUUCAAAACUUCACAACAAGAAGAAACUUUCCAGCAGGAGGGGAGGGGCCAGGGAAUGAUGCUUGUGUACAAGAGACAGAUUGAAUCUACACCUUGAAAAAUUAGUAGAUUAUGGCAAAAUCCAAAAGGAGCAGUAGGCAUUGGCAUCCAGGAAAAAUAGCAGUGACAUAGGUUCAGGAAUCCAUAAGGAUAUUCUAAGAUAAUCAGUAGUCCAGUUUGACUAGGUGGGGAUGGAGAAUAAGUGGAAGCAUCAGGAGUAGAGUUGGGACAUUUUUGUCUGCUGUAAAAAUUCUUUGUGGUCACCCCUGACCUACAAGGAUCUUCCUUCUUUUCCUUUCUUUUGCUAUUUUAAUAACUAAUUCAUAAUUAACCUUGGACUUGUUAGACUCUGGGAUAGAUAGAUGGUCUAAUAUAGUUGACCAGAGAAAUGGUCUAAUUAUUAGAUAUAUAUGAAAUCUACAUGCUAGAUCAAUAGAUGAAUGAAUAUAUAAACAAAUACUCAUGAGUUAUUUUCUAUGUUAUUUAAGUGCAGGAAUUAUUUUUUGUUAUUUAGUAUUUUAUAUAUUUGGUAUUUCUCAAGCUCAACAAAAGCAAUUAAAUUUAGGAAUCACGCCAUAACCUUCUUUAAACCCUCAUUGCAGCUUCAUCCAUUGACCCUAUUCCUUGUUUGGCCCCAGUCCUGGUCCUACUUCAGGAAUAUGUUAGGACCUAAUUAACAUCUGUUAGGUUAAUUAGUCCUUCAGGCAAUAAGGAGCCAAGAAGAUUGACACAAGCAAAAUAGUGGUGUCCAGGGUAGAUUUAAGAAGCUGUUUUAAUAAUGCGGUGAUACAGUGUUAAGAUCUUAACAGGUGUGAAAAAAUGAUGAAAAGGAAUAUAGUGGUUUUCUAAAACUAUUGUGAAAGAAAAGAUGUUUGUCCUUGGUACUGGAGGAAUUUAGACAAAAGGUUGCUCACUGGGGAAAAAAGUUUCAAGGAAGGAUUUGCAAAUAAAGUGGAGAUUAACGAGGCCUUAAAGACUGGGAAGUGUUAAAAUAACAUGGAUAAACAAAAUCCAAUUAAUAUUUAUGUGUUGCAUAUAUGGCAAAGAAGGUAAUUCCACACACCCAACCCCUUGAAACCCUUCCAACAACCUUGUGAGGUGGACUUUCGCCUCCCUUUUAAGUAGCUGUGAUCGAGCAGGGGCUGCCUGCUUCUAUGAUAAUCCCCCCAGAGAAUGUCUCUCACUAGGCAUUCAGUCUCUAAUGAAGUCCUUGUGGGAGGUGAACCAGUGGCUCUAUUUUAACUAGUCUUUGGUUUAACAGGCGGCUGUUUCGACGACAUGUCACGAUCCAUUCAGGGUGGGUUACUCAAGUGCCCAGUGGUUCUAGUACAGCUGGUACUUGCCCCAUGUCCCCAUAAAGAGAAGCAUCUAACAAAGGAUGUAAAGCAUGUUCCAAGCAGAGGCAUUUUGUUGGAUCAUCAGAGCAUUUUCUUUCUCAAGUUAAGCUAUUUUUUUUUUCAUUCAAAAUUCAGGAACUCAGACUCAAACCUCAAACUAAACUACUCCUCAUACUGAGAUGUAAAUUCUACACUUGAGGUGCUUCAACUAAGAUUAGAGGAUUUUUUUCCCCAAAAUGGAAAUGAUUUUCUCCAGCAAUUACUAUAAAGCACAGAUUACCAUUUCAUAAAGAGAGAACAAAAGAAGACACAGCUAUUUUGCACCCAUUGGCUGAUACCACAGAGAAGUCUUUGUGGGAAAAUCCAGCUUGAUUUAAAGCCUUGAAUAAAACAUAGGAUUAGGAUUGAUGACUAAGAAGAGGAGGGUCCUGGAAUGAUAAUAGCUCCCCUUUGAAUAGAAUUUUAUACCUCACAAGGUGUUUUCAUCUGUUUUAUUAUAUUUGACCUUCACAACAGCUGUAUAAUAUAGAACUUAUUGCAUGGUAUUUUUAAUCACUUAUUUACAAGUCUGUUUCUGGAUUAAACCUGAGCACUCCAAGGGCAGUAACUGGGAGUAUGUCCAAUGCUUGGUAUGGUGUCUGGGGCAGAGUAGGUGGGCUGGGAGUGUUAGGGAAAGGAAACAAAUUAGAAUGCUUUCCUUGAAUGCCUGGUAAACGGGUAUUAUUAACCUCUACUAUAGAUGCAAAACCCAAGGCUUAUGGAACUUCACUAAUAUGCCCAAGUCAAAUAAAAGGCAAAACAGUAUGCCCCAAAUAGGACCUUAGAUCCAGAGUCACACAUGCAAUACUGUCUGUGUGCUAGGUGCGCACAAAAACUAAGGGGCUAACAAGACACAUCCUUAUGGAGCAUCCAGGGAAAUGAUAACAACCAAGUUUGUAUCCUUAAAAUGACCUGAUCAUAAAUUCCAAAGCUCUCUAUCAACAUAUUGACCUGAAGAUUGCAGAGAUGAAUACUGAGGGACUGUAGAAUAAGAAAGUGUCCCCAGACUGUUAGAAUGGUUGCUGAAAAAAUGAUUUCUGCUUAGAAAAAAAGAUUCCUUUUGAUCUUAAAGUACCUCUGCCUAACAUAUUUAAUUUAAAUCUAAUGUGUGAAGAGUACCUUAGUUUUGAGGUUUGAAUCCUGGUUGUUAUCUACCACCAACGUGCUUAUUAUCUAUAUGAAGCUCCUGGCUUAAGGUAAUUUUUGAUUAUUUUUUCUUACUGGAUGUAAAUAGGCACCUGCCACAGAUAUAAAGUGCUAAGAAAGUUUCAGUCCUAUUCCCUUUGGGAUGCUUCAGAUGGUGAACGCACACACACACACACACUCUCUCUCUCUUCCUUGUGGCAAGGACACUUAACAUGAAACCUACCUCUUAACAGGUUUUUUUAGUGUACAAUACAAUAUGAUCCCUUCACACAUGUCAGGAUGGAUAAUAAUCGUAAAAAAAGAUAAAAAGUAUUGGUGGAUGUGGAGAAGAAGGAACCCUUGUGCACUGUUGGUGGGAAUGCAAACUGGUGCAGCCACUGUGAAAAAUGGUAUGAAAGUUCUUCAGGACAUUAAAAAUAGAUUACUGUAUAAUCCAGCAAUCCCAUUUCUGGGUAUAUGUCCAAGGGAAUUAGGAUAAGGAUCUCAAAGAGGGAUUAACACUACCAUAUUCACUGCAGCAUUAUUUGUAGUAGCAAAGAUGUGGAACACCUUAAAUGUCCACUGAUGGAUGAAUAGACAAAAUGUGUUUUCUUUCCAAAAAAGACAUCCAAAUAUCCAACAGUUAGAUGAAAAGGUGCUCAUCAUCACUAAUCCUCAGGAAAAUGCAAACUACAAUGUGAUAUCACCUCACACCUAUUAGAAUUGCUAGAAUCAAAAAGACAGGAAAUAAUUAGCAUUGGCAAGGAUGUGGAGAAAAGAGAACUCUCAUGCACCGUUUGUGAUAUGUAAAUUGGUGCAACCACUAUGGAAAACAAUAUGGAUAUUCCUCAAAAUAUAAAAAUAGAACUACCAUAUUAUCCAGCAAUCCCACUUCUCGGUAUUUAUCCAAAGGAAAUGAAAUCACUGUCUUAAAAAAAUAUCUACCACCCCAUGUUUACUGCAGCAUAAUUUAUAAUAUCCAAGACACAGAAACAACCUCAGUGUCAAUCAACAGAUGAAUGGAUAAGGAAAAUGUGAUAUAUAUAUAUAUAUAUAUAUACACACAUACAUACAAAAUACAUAUACAUACACACACAUAUACAUACACACACAUACAAAUACAAACAUACAAUGGAAUAUUAUUCAGCCAUUCCCAAGAUAAGGAAAUCUCACUGUUUGUUACAAUAUGAAUGAUGUGCAUGAAACGUGAAGGCACUGCGAUAAGUAAAAUAAGUCAGAGAAAGACAAAUAUUGCAUGAUAUCAUGUAAAUGUAGAAUCUAAAAACCCUGAACUAAUAGAUACAGAGAACAGAUUGGUGGUUGGUAGAGGAGGGAGCAGGUGGUGGGUGAAAUGGGUGAAGAGAUCCAAAAGGUAUAAACUUCUAGUUGUAAGAUAAAUAAGUCCUGAGGAUCUAAUGUACAGCAUAGUGACUAUAGUUAAUAAUAAUCUAUUGUAUAUUUGUAAGUUGCUAAGAGAAUAGAUCUUAAAAGUUCUCAUCACAAGAAAAAAAAUUGUAAGUGUGUGGUGAUGGACAUUAACUAAAUUUAUUGUAAUCAUUUUGAGAUAUAUAUACAUCUAUAUCUCAAAUCAUUAUGUUGUACACCUACAACUAAUACAAUUUUAUAUGUCAAUUUUAUCUCAAUAAAAAAAGAAAUUCUAUCCUUUUAGUAUUCAAACAACUUCUUACAUGUAUCCUAUACACUAUUAUCUUGUUUAUGUCAAUCUGCCUGGUUCACAGAUGACAGAAAUCUUUUUCUGGCUUCUCAGAAAAUUAAUUAGGUAGGUGCAUAUAAAAAAUAACAGAUGUUCCUGAUUAAUAUUUACUUUUGUCUUUUUCUUGCAGUAUACUGCCUUCUGUAUGUGUAUCUGAUCUCAUUUAAAUUAUUUUACUACUUUAAAAUAUCCAUCUAUAUGUAUUUUCAUAUACAUGUUAUUUUUAAUUCCUCAAAACAAUAUGUGAGGCAGUUCUCAACAUCAUGUCUAUUUUAUGGAUUAUAAAGCUGAUGCUUACAGAGAUUCAUGGGAUUUAUGUGCACAAAGGUAGAAAAUAUUUAAGGUGUAAAAUCUUGAUAUGUAGGAUACUAAAGCCUAUGUCUUUCCAUUGGCUUCUGAUUCUAGGAGUAUGGAAGACAUAGUGUCAUAAAAGCAUAGUCUCCCCUUUGAAGGCAUGUUAAGUAUAAUGACAAAAAAUUGUUAGGUGUAGAAACCCUAUUUCAUAGAUCUCUGUCUAGCAUGAAGCAUAGAGCUUUAUGCAUAAUAAGUGGUGAAUUAACAUUUAACAAAAUAAAUAAUCCUUACAUUGAAAAGUCAGUUCAAAAUGACUCAUGAAACAUAGAGUUAGAUGAAAUAGUGAUUCAAGUUUACAGAGCAUUCAGCUCUGUGGAAUAGUUUGCCCUUAUUUUGGUAUUAUCCACCUGAGGGAACAUGGCAGUAAGAUUCGGUGGACAUUGCAAGAUUUUAUCCAUAUUUUGCUGUGGGUAUAAAAGUAGCGAGUAUGCCUCUAGCAUUGACUUCUUCCUUUAGAGCUUAGGAAUGUGAACUGAUAACUCCAAGGCUGCUCCCUUUGUGGUAUUUGUCAUAUCAGAGACUGUUCUGAUUUCCUUCUUCCCUUUUACAGGAAAUUGUAAGCUAUUAAAUCUUUUGUCUCAAAAUAUAUACAAAUAUUUAUAUUUGUACAUAACUACUACAUUAUCAUAUAUAUGUAUUUCAUGGACAAGGACAGCAGCCUUACAAAAGAUUUUGGCCAGCUCCUUGCCUGCCCUCCCCUCCCACCCCAACCCCCCCAACAAAAAGGAUGUUAGACAAGAUGAGGACAGUAAGUGAGAUGAGAGAGCCAGGGAAACCAAGCAGUCCCAUUACUAUUUUGAAUUAUGCUACAGGCUGAAAGAAGUAGAAUAUACUUACAGUAAUUUUCUGUUUCCAAAAGAACAGGUGAUUAUUUUGGAAAAAUAAGCAAAGGAAAUUAGGACUCUGGUUUAUAUUUGUGUAGUUGUGGCACUUACCAAAGUUAAGUAUUUCUAGUCUAUUCACAAGACAUUAGCUGAACUAAUUUUUUGUCAGACUUAUAAAAUAUUUCCCUAAGAAAUUUCUUUUUUUUUAAUUUUUAAUAUUUAUUUAUUUUUGAGAGAGAGACAGAGCGUGAGCAGGGUAGGGGCAGAGAGAGAGGCAGACACAGAAUGAGAAGCAGGUUCUAGGCUUUGAGCCAUAAGCACAGAGACUGAUGUGGGACUCAAACUCACAAACGGUGAGCUGACAUCAAGAGUCAGAUGCUUCACAGAGUAUGCCCCUGGAUCACAGAUUUAACACCUUAAUGUAGCCUAAUGCUCCUGCAGUUUCCAUCAGAAUGAGUUUUGUUCCUUUAUUAAGAUUGUCAGUUUUUUAGGGUGGAAAUUAUUCCAUACUUUCUGGAACACCCCAUGGUCCCUAAAACAGUGCAAUCUACAUACAGAGAAGUUCUUCUUUCUUGUACUAUUUCUUGUUCUUAUUUCUUGUACUAUUAUUGAUUGACUGAAUUAACAGUCCCAGAACACUUUUGGAUUCUGAGGGUAGAAAAUUGAACAAGACAUGAUUUUGCCCUUAAAAACCUUAAGUUCAGUGGGAAGAGACAGGUGACCAGAGAUAACAUGCAAUAUCAGAGGUAAACUCAAAAUACUUUAGAAUUAUGAGUUUGGUCAGAUGUAAAAUAGAUUGUAGAAAUUUGAGAAAGCUUUCAAAGAGGAAUUGACAUUAGGUUUGGGUUUUGAAAACUGAGUAAGAGUUUACCAGGGAGAACAGGAAUGGGGGUUGGAGAAGAUGGAUACAAGGAGAAAGGAAGGGCAAUCCAGGUAGAAACACAGCAUGUAUGAAGGUGUGAAAUUGUAGAAAGGAGUCAGCGUGUUUGGAGAAUGGUAAGAAAUUUGGGGUGUCUGAAAAAGAAGACACAUGUACUGAAACAGAGGGAAUAAAAGUCAAAGAGUUAGAGUUAGUGUGGGAAGAUCCCUCUAUUCUGAGUGCAUGGGUUUAGAUUUUAUCCCAGGUGGCAGAUAUCAUAGUGGUUACAGUGUGAAUUCCAGAAUCAAACUGAGUUUGUCUCCAGUGUGGACUUUAUUAUUUACCUUUUUAAAGAUUAAAUAAGAGAUCAUACAGGUAAAGCACUUAUACUAGUGUCUUGUGUAUCUCCAAUAAAAGUUAGCUGCUUUUAUAGGUAACCAUGGAAGAACAUGAAUUUUAAAGCAUAGAAGUUAUACCAUUGAAUUAAUUUUGUUGAUGUUACUAUUUUAUUUUACAUACUUUUCCAGAAUUGACUGUUGGGAAAACACCCAUGAUGGCAGGUGGAGAAUAGAAGACAAAAAGCAAACAAAAAAAGGGACUUUCUAAGUAGCCUUGGGUAACAGUAAUACUAAAUAAAAUCUAUUGAAUGCCUUCUGUGUGCCACACAGUCUGCUAAGUGUUGUGCUUGCAUUAUCUCAUUUAAUUUUCACAGGAUUAUAUAGUAAGGGGAGUGCUAUAUUAUUAUCUUCAUUUUAUAGAAAAUAGAGAUUAAGGAAGUAAAAUGGCACCUCCAGGUCACACUGACUAGUGCCGGAACCAAGUUUUAAGGUCUUUGAUUUCAGAAUUUUCGCUAAAACAUUUUAAUAUUAGGUUAUUGGAUAUCCCUGGACAUCAUUUUCCUCAUCUGUACUAUGGAAAGGUCAUUCUUGGGAGAAUUGAGUGCAUAACCAAUGAGAAGGUACUGCUACAGUGUCUGAUGUAUAAUAAUUACAGCAACGGUAGUAACUGAUAUUGUUACCUGUUUUAGAAUGUCUCUAUAAGUUGGAACAUUAAUUUGAAACUGACUUUGGGGAGGAAUGAAGAGAAGACUACUGCAGCAUUCCUAUCAUUAUGAAACUAGCUGGCUUCAUAGUAGAAAGAAAGAACGUUGCUCUUCUGUGGCUCUGAAUUUUGUAUAACUGUGUGUAGUCCUUUUCAACACUCAAUUCAGGUUAAUAUUAUUUUGUUUAUUUUACUCCUAAUUCUGUUUGCACUGGCAUAAGCUGUACUUUCUGACAUUAAAUGAGGAUUUAAUUAGACACAUACAUGUUCCUGUGGGACAGGGGUUACUGCUGCAUUGCAAUUAUCUUUUCUGAUGUUGUUCCCCCAUGGACUAUAGAUUUGCAAGGGCAUUAGUCAAGUCUUGGUCAUCUAUUUAUCUCCAGAGUCCUGUAAGUGCUUGGCUCAUGGUAGGUGCUUAAUGAGUGAGCAUAACACCAAGGAAGAAAUCAGUGAAUUAAUGAAAGGCAAAACAAUCUUAACACAGACGUCACAAUUUGGGAUUGCUUUUGAAAUCUGAGUUCCUGGUGAUUAUGACAUCACUGUUACUAGAUUCUCUAAAGGCUCUAGUAGACAUUUAUUAUACCCACUAAAAUUAGAUGCUGCAUCUACUAGGUAAAAAUCAGUGACUCAGGUGGUUGAUAUCAUGACAUUGCAACAGUAAAAGUAACCUCGCACCACCCUCCUCCCUUCAAGCACUGAUGGGACACUGUAGAUCAGUCUAUUUCAUUUGAUUAGGGAGCUCUUUUUCAAAGAGAGACUGAGAGGCUCAGAAUGUCUGUGCCUCCCCCCCUUCAUGGGAUACAUCGUGAGUGCUUCAGAAUGCAGACUCCAGUGAGCACUCUGAUGGAAUGGCCCUGCUGAGACAGGAGAUAAUAACAUUCAUUGUUGAGGUUUUAGCCAUCCCUGAGGUGGACUCUCUCAGUAUGAACUCACACGAUAACAGGGUUUAGAGAGUUUCCGGUUCUUAGAGCACCUCCCUGUUUAGGACUCUCUUUCACUUCUCCUGCAAUCAGGAGGUCUCUGAUCUGAAACACACUUAGACUGUCCACUGUGAAAAUAUGAAAAGAUGACAAGUUAUGCUAGAUUCAGAUGGAAAGAAAAAAUAAAUUCACAUAAAAGGAAAACAACAUAAUAUUUCAGGAAGCUAGUGUGCUAUGGAUGCAUAUAAUGUUCUUAGUCUUUUCCAAAUGUGGGGGUGGAGGGAAAAGGGGGAAGUGACGGACUAUCUCUAAGGCCCUGUCAUUGUUUCAGGGAAGAUAAUAGUGUUCAGCUCUAGGGCUACAUGUACUGUAAAACUCUUUCCCUGCUGGUUACUUGGCUCUGGAAGAAGAGUUCAGGCAUGAAUUCACCAGGUCCUGUCCUGUUCAUAGCUUCAACAUAGAAAACAUAGGCAAAUAAGGUGCAGGGACACACUCCUCUGGUUUUCUGUGGUGGUUUGAGCUUCCCUCAGCACCUCCCUGCCAGGGCUGGUUGGUUGGUUAUGGCCAGAGAUCCAGCCCAGAUCUUUGCAGAGUGAAUGUGCUUGACUAUGACCCUGGGAAGCAAUUGGGGGAAGGAGUGGGAGCAGACAAGAAAAAGGACCUCAUCAGUGGAUGUUAAAAGUAUCUGUAAAAGUUGAUUAGGUUUUCUUUCCCAGCCCUUCCAUUCAAUUCCAGAGGGAGAAAACUGGGAUUAACUAUUCUAACCUCUUAUUUAGAAACAGUUUACAUUGCAGUUGUCUCCUCUCUGAUAUCUUUUCUCUUAAUAUUCAUUUUAAACUUAUUUCUCCUGGGGUGCCCGGGUGGCUCGGUUGGUUAAGCAUCUGACUCCUGAUUUCUGCUCAGGUCAUGAUCUCACAGUUUUGUGAUGGAGCCCCGUGUUGGGCUCUGGGCUGAGCAUGGAGCCUGCUUAAGAUUCUCUCCCUCUGCUCCUCCCCUCCUUGCAUAUGCAUGUGCUCUCUCUCUUUCUCUCAAAGAAUAAAAAAUAAAAAGGGUUCCUGGGUGGCUCAGUGCAUUAAGCAUCCAACUCUUAAUUUUGGCUCAGGUCAUGGUAUCUUGGUUCAUGAACUUGAGCCCUGUAUUGGGCUCCAUGCUGGCAGUGUGGAACCUACUUAGGAUUUUCUUUCUCUCCCUCUCUCUCUCUGUCCCUUGCCCCCCACCCUCUCUCUCAAAAUAAAUAAAUGUAAAAAAUAAAUAAAAGUAAAUUAAAAAGAUAAACUUAUUUCUCCUGGAUAAAUGUCAUUGUGUGUGUAUGUGUGUAUUUAUGUGAACAAAUAUGAAGUUGGAAAAAAAUACUCAAUGGUCUUAGACAUUUUGGCCUCUCCUUUUAUGUGUCGCUAGGCCUUUUCUCUUCCCUAAAGGCUGAAGGGCUCCCUCUCCCUCCCAUUCACUUUCACUUUCUUCCAUCAGUUUUUAUUCAAUGCUAAAGAAAUAGUAAGGAAGAAAAAGUAGGAAGGGAAAACCAUUUAUUCUCAAUGAAUUAUGCUUAUCCGUGGGGCUGAGGUUGGUCAUUCCAACAGAACUAUCCUUACUGUUGCAUGCAUUAGUCUCCUAUGCCUCACCAGGAUGUAAUAAGCCCUUGUCAUUACCUUGGCUAUAUCCAAACAAGUGAGGAAACAAAGGUAACUAUUAUCUUGCUAUUAUAGAGAAACUUGGACUAUUCUCAGUGUAGAUAUGUUGAAUUGCUAUCUCUGUAGAUCUGGACCUGAUCCAGGAAGGCUUGGUCCAGUUG
rnacentral:lncRNA from 1 species